rnacentral:misc_RNA from 1 species
GUAGGUGAACCUGCGGAAGGAUCAUUACAAAAUCUAGUUGUAGGGUGUGGUGUGUUGGUGGUGGUUGGGUUAGUGUGGAGAGUGAGUUUAGUGGGGUUGGUGCUUUGGCGCUGGCUCUCCUUUUCCUCUGCCCACACACCCGCCGUCCCUCCAUCAUGUCCCGAACACAUUUGCGCUUGUAUUGUUUGACAGAGUAAAAGUAUACACAAAUUAAAGACAACUUUUAACAAUGGAUCUCUUGGCUCUUGCA